AAUGGCCGCAGUAAUUUGACUGUGCAAAGGUAGCAUAAUCAUUAGUUUUUUAAUUUAAAGCUUGUAUGAAUGGUUGGACGAGGUAAAUUCUGUCUCUAUUUAAUUUAAAUUAUAAUUUAAUUUUUAAGUUAAAAAGCUUAAAUUUUUAUAAAAGACGAGAAGACCCUAUAGAUUUUUAUAUUUUAUUUUUAUUAAUUAAUUAAGAUUAUUUUAUUUUAAUUAAAAUAAUUUAUUUUAUUGGGGUAAUAGAAAGAUUAAAAUAAUUCUUUUAAUUUUUAUACAUUAAUUUAUGAAUUUAUUGAUCCAAUAAUAUUGAUUAUGAGAUUUAAUUACCUUAGGGAUAACAGCGUAAUUUUUUUAAAGAGUUCAUAUCGAUAAAAAAGUUUGCGACCUCGAUGUUGGAUUAAAGAUUAAUUUAGGUGUAGAAGUUUAAAUUUUUGGUCUGUUCGACCAUUAAAUCUUUACAUGAUCUGAGUUCAGACCGGCGUGAGCCAGGUCGGUUUCUAUCUUUAUAAUAAUAUAAUAUUUUAGUACGAAAGGACCAAGUAUUAAUUAUAAUAUAAUUAAUUUUUGAAUUUUAUUGUUAUUUUGGCAGAUAAGUGUAAUGAAUUUAGAAUUCAUUUAUGUAAUUUUUAUAUUACAAGUAAUAU
rnacentral:misc_RNA from 1 species